UGUAUCUCAGGUGUGCCCAGGUGUGCCAGCUGUGCCAUACCUGCCCCACGAUAUCCGACACAUGACUGACGGUGGUGCCCGAGGCCGCGCCCAGGUACAGCACCUUGGCACCUGUACCCAGGUGUGUCUGUACCCAUCCCCAGGUGUGCCCAGGUGUAUCUCAGGUGUGCCCAGGUGUGUCUGUACUGUACCCAGGUGUGCCCAGGUGU